UUAAUUGAAACCAAACUAGAGGUAUAUCACUGUUAAUGAUAUCAAUGGAACAUUUCCCAAUUAAU
rnacentral:tRNA from 1 species